GAACGCUGGCGGCAGGCCUAACACAUGCAAGUCGAGCGGUAGCACAGAGAGCUUGCUCUCGGGUGACGAGCGGCGGACGGGUGAGUAAUGUCUGGGAAACUGCCUGAUGGAGGGGGAUAACUACUGGAAACGGUAGCUAAUACCGCAUAAUGUCGCAAGACCAAAGUGGGGGACCUUCGGGCCUCAUGCCAUCAGAUGUGCCCAGAUGGGAUUAGCUAGUAGGUGGGGUAACGGCUCACCUAGGCGACGAUCCCUAGCUGGUCUGAGAGGAUGACCAGCCACACUGGAACUGAGACACGGUCCAGACUCCUACGGGAGGCAGCAGUGGGGAAUAUUGCACAAUGGGCGCAAGCCUGAUGCAGCCAUGCCGCGUGUGUGAAGAAGGCCUUCGGGUUGUAAAGCACUUUCAGCGGGGAGGAAGGCGAUGAGGUUAAUAACCUCGUCGAUUGACGUUACCCGCAGAAGAAGCACCGGCUAACUCCGUGCCAGCAGCCGCGGUAAUACGGAGGGUGCAAGCGUUAAUCGGAAUUACUGGGCGUAAAGCGCACGCAGGCGGUCUGUCAAGUCGGAUGUGAAAUCCCCGGGCUCAACCUGGGAACUGCAUUCGAAACUGGCAGGCUAGAGUCUUGUAGAGGGGGGUAGAAUUCCAGGUGUAGCGGUGAAAUGCGUAGAGAUCUGGAGGAAUACCGGUGGCGAAGGCGGCCCCCUGGACAAAGACUGACGCUCAGGUGCGAAAGCGUGGGGAGCAAACAGGAUUAGAUACCCUGGUAGUCCACGCCGUAAACGAUGUCGAUUUGGAGGUUGUGCCCUUGAGGCGUGGCUUCCGGAGCUAACGCGUUAAAUCGACCGCCUGGGGAGUACGGCCGCAAGGUUAAAACU
rnacentral:rRNA from 1 species